UACGUAGGGUCCGAGCGUUGUCCGGAAUUACUGGGCGUAAAGGGCGCGUAGGCGGGAUGGCAAGUCGGUCGUGAAAUCCCUCGGCUCAACUGAGGAUCGUCGAUCGAUACUGCCGUUCUUGAGGAUUGCAGAGGAGACUGGAAUUCCCGGUGUAGCGGUGAAAUGUGUAGAGAUCGGGAGGAACACCGGUGGCGAAGGCGGGUCUCUGGGCAAUUCCUGACGCUGAGGCGCGAAAGCGUGGGGAGCAAACGGG
rnacentral:rRNA from 1 species